GAGGAUCAGAGUCUGGCCAUGCCCCUCCGCCUCUACUUCCUCCCCCAUGGAGCCCCAUUUCAGCCUUGGUUCUUGUUGUGCAGCAGCGUGAAGACGUUCACCAUGAGCAGGAGCAGCGGCGCAGUCUACUUCGGGUGCGGGAGUGGUAGAGCAACGGCUGCGCAGGGCUGCACGCAUGGCGGCGCGUGGCCAAGGCGGGGGUGCUGUGGCAGACGUGAGGGCAGGCGGCGCGGGCUGCUUCCGCUGCACGGCCGGCCGCGGAGCACGGAGCGUCGACAGCGGCAUGGGCGGCCUCCACGGCAAGGCUGCGGCGUAGGGCCGCGGCUGCACACGGUGGGGUGGCCCCGAGCGCGGCAGUAGGAGCGGCGGCCACGAGCGGCUCGGAGCGCGGUAGCAGGAGCGGCGACGGCGACGAGGCGAAGCUCCGGGGCCGAGCGUCGUCAGCAGGAUGCCUGCUUAUUUUUUUUGUUUGCCAAAAAUAUUUUGGUACAGGUUGGAAAGACCAACCAGUACCAAUGAAUGUCUAAGGCACCGGGUGAAAAACCCGGUGCCCUAGACUGAGGCCAAUGGUCUCGGUUUGGAGGUACCGGUUGUAAAACCGGUGUCUAAGCACCUCUUCAACCGGUGCCUAAGGCGUCAUUUCUAGUAGUGAACCGAGGGCUUUAUGCAGUUGGAUGGUCUGAAUACAGUCAAAUCGUUCAACUCGA